AGCAGUAGCCGCGGUAAUACGGAGGGAGCUAGCGUUGUUCGGAAUCACUGGGCGUAAAGCGCACGUAGGCGGCUAUUCAAGUCAGGGGUGAAAGCCCGGGGCUCAACCCCGGAACUGCCUUUGAAACUAGAUAGCUUGAAUCUUGGAGAGGCGAGUGGAAUUCCGAGUGUAGAGGUGAAAUUCGUAGAUAUUCGGAAGAACACCAGUGGCGAAGGCGACUCGCUGGACAAGUAUUGACGCUGAGGUGCGAAAGCGUGGGGAGCAAACAGGAUUAGAUACCCCUGUAGUCCCUGUCUCUAUACA
rnacentral:rRNA from 1 species